rnacentral:rRNA from 1 species
UAGAGUUUGAUCCUGGCUCAGAGCGAACGCUGGCGGUAUGCUUAACACAUGCAAGUCGAGCGAGAAAGUGGCUUCGGCCACGAGUACAGCGGCGGACGGGUGCGUAACACGUGGAUAAUCUGCCUUCAGGUCUGGGAUAACCCUGGGAAACUAGAGCUAAUACCGGAUAAGACCACAGGUUCCAUGGAACCAAGGGUAAAAGGCGGCCUUCGGGCUGUCUCCUGAAGAUGAGUCCGCGUCCCAUCAGGUUGUUGGUGAGGUAACGGCUCACCAAGCCUAUAUACGGGUA